rnacentral:rRNA from 1 species
UACGAAGGGGGCUAGCGUUGCUCGGAAUCACUGGGCGUAAAGCGCACGUAGGCGGAUUCUUAAGUCAGGGGUGAAAUCCUGGAGCUCAACUCCAGAACUGCCUUUGAUACUGAGGGUCUUGAGUUCGGGAGAGGUGAGUGGAACUGCGAGUGUAGAGGUGAAAUUCGUAGAUAUUCGCAAGAACACCAGUGGCGAAGGCGGCUCACUGGCCCGAUACUGACGCUGUGGUGCGAAAGCGUGGGGAGCAAACAGG